rnacentral:rRNA from 1 species
UCCAGGCAAAUCCGGAUAAUCAAGGCUGAGGUGUGAUGACGAGGCACUACGGUGCUGAAGUAACAAAUGCCCUGCUUCCAGGAAAAGCCUCUAAGCAUCAGGUAACAUUGAAUCGUACCCCAAACCGACACAGGUGGUCAGGUAGAGAAUACCAAGGCGCUUGAGAGAACUCGGGUGAAGGAACUAGGCAAAAUGGUGCCGUAACUUCGGGAGAAGGCACGCUGGUGUGUAGGUGAA